UCAACAACUAUUUAUUAAGAAAAAACUUAAAAUAUCGUUCCUAUAGUUUCAUACUUUUUUAUUUUAAUAUCCUGCGAUUUAAGGCGUAUCAAUUUAGUACCCGUGAUUUUAUUUUUCUCUUUUCAUUAUUUCUUUUACUAAUUUUUUUUGGUUAAAUCAGUGACAAAGUUAAAAAACUAAAAGGUACUAAAUUGAAUACUCGAUAAAUCUAUGUGGGGUAUUUGAAGUUUUUUCUAUAUGAUUUAACGAAAUUUUAACGAAGAGGCUGAUGAAAGGAGAAAAAUGAAACCACACGAUACUAAAUUGAUACACUUUAAAUCACACGGUACUAAAGUGAGAAAGUGUGAAACCACAUGGGUGAUAUUUAAAAUUUAACAAUAAAAAAGGAUAAAUUUCAAAUACCCCCUUGUGGUUUCACAUUUUCUCCCUUUAGUAUCUUAUGGUUUAAAGUGUAUAAAGUUAACUCCUGUGGUUUCGCACUUUCUCACUUUAGUACUCUAUGGUUUAAAAUGUAUCAAGUUAGCAUUCUGUGGUUUCAUUUUUCUCUUUUUAUUAUUCAUUUCACUAAUUUUUUUCGUUAAAUCAGUCACAAAGUUAAAAUUAAAAGGUACUAAAGUAAAUAUUCGAUAAACCUAGAUAAGGUAUCUGAAGUUUUUUGUAUAUAAUUUAACGAAGUAUUAACGGAGGAAAAAAAAUCAAUGACAAAAUUAAAACUAAAGGAUACUAAGGUAAAUAUUCAAUUAACCUAGAUAGGAUAUCUGAAGUUUUUUGUAUAUAAUUUAACGAAAUAUUAAUAGAGGAGUUGACGAAAGUGAAAAAUGAAAUCACAUGAUACUAAAUUGAUGCACUUUAAACCACAGAAUACUAAAGUGAGAAAGUGCGAAACCACAACAUACUAAAUUGAUAUACUUUAAACCGCAGAAUACUAACGUAAAAAAGUGCAAAAUCAUAGGAGUGGUAUUUAAAGUUUUUCAUAAAAAAUAAAUAAACAGGUGGUAAGAU
rnacentral:lncRNA from 1 species